rnacentral:rRNA from 1 species
UACAGAGGAGCCAAGCGUUGUCCGGAUUGACAGGGCGUAAAGCGCACGCAGGCGGAUGCGCGCGUGGGGUGUGAAAUCUGGCCGCUUAACGGCCAGGCGCCAUCCCAUACGGCGCGUCUGGAGUGAUGCAGAGGUCGAUGGAAUUGCCGGUGUAGUGGUGAAAUGCGCAGAUAUCAGGAGGAACACCGAUGGCGAAGGCAGCUCGCUGGGACGGUACUGACGCUGAGGCGCGAAAGCGUGGGGAGCAAACAGG